rnacentral:tRNA from 11 species
GGUUUUGUAGUGUAAUUAACAUAUUAGAUUGCAAAUCUAUAGAUGCGGCCAGUUUAUCCGCCAAAACUU